rnacentral:rRNA from 1 species
AGAGUUUGAUCCUGGCUCAGGAUGAACGCUAGCUACAGGCUUAACACAUGCAAGUCGAGGGGCAGCGGGAUUGAAGCUUGCUUCAAUUGCCGGCGACCGGCGCACGGGUGAGUAACGCGUAUCCAACCUUCCGUACACUCAGGGAUAGCCUUUCGAAAGAAAGAUUAAUACCUGAUGGUAUGAUGAGAUUGCAUGAUAGCAUCAUUAAAGAUUUAUCGGUGUACGAUGGGGAUGCGUUCCAUUAGGUAGUAGGCGGGGUAACGGCCCACCUAGCCAACGAUGGAUAGGGGUUCUGAGAGGAAGGUCCCCCACAUUGGAACUGAGACACGGUCCAAACUCCUACGGGAGGCAGCAGUGAGGAAUAUUGGUCAAUGGACGAGAGUCUGAACCAGCCAAGUAGCGUGAAGGAUGAAGGUCCUACGGAUUGUAAACUUCUUUUAUAAGGGAAUAAACCCUCCCACGUGUGGGAGCUUGUAUGUACCUUAUGAAUAAGCAUCGGCUAACUCCGUGCCAGCAGCCGCGGUAAUACGGAGGAUGCGAGCGUUAUCCGGAUUUAUUGGGUUUAAAGGGAGCGCAGACGGGUCGUUAAGUCAGCUGUGAAAGUUUGGGGCUCAACCUUAAAAUUGCAGUUGAUACUGGCGUCCUUGAGUGCGGUUGAGGUGUGCGGAAUUCGUGGUGUAGCGGUGAAAUGCUUAGAUAUCACGAAGAACUCCGAUUGCGAAGGCAGCACACUAAUCCGUAACUGACGUUCAUGCUCGAAAGUGUGGGUAUCAAACAGGAUUAGAUACCCUGGUAGUCCACACGGUAAACGAUGGAUACUCGCUGUUGGCGAUAUACUGUCAGCGGCUUAGCGAAAGCGUUAAGUAUCCCACCUGGGGAGUACGCCGGCAACGGUGAAACU